rnacentral:rRNA from 1 species
CGGGGUGGAGUAACGUGUGGGCAACCUGCCCUAUACUGGGGAAUAAUCACUGGAAACGGUGACUAAUACCGCAUGUCAUUACGGAAGGGCAUCCUUCUGUAAGAAAAGGAGUAAUUCGGUAUAGGAUGGGCCCGCAUCUGAUUAGCUAGUUGGUGAGAUAACAGCCCACCAAGGCGACGAUCAGUAGCCGACCUGAGAGGGUGAUCGGCCACAUUGGGACUGAGACACGGCCCAA